AGGCAAAAAUACUGGAGUGGGUUGCCAUUUCCUUCUCCAGGGGAUCUUCCCAACCAAAGGAUUGAAUCUGGGUCUCCUGCAUUGCAGGUGGAUUCUUCACCAUCUGAGCCACCAGGGAAGCCUCCUCUUCCUUUGGAAUCGGCAUUUGGCCCAAUCACACCGAAGACCUGUAUGCGGUUACCUCCUGGACAAUCAUCCACCCGGCAUCCACCUGACCUGCAGCACCCCAGGUGAGGCUGUGCUUCAUGUGAAGCAGGCUCCAACUCUGAUACUCUCUCAGAAUGGCUGUGACUAUAUCCUACAUGCUCAUCCAGAAUCUCGCCCCACUGAUCCAUGAAGAGGGAGAGUCUAUUUCUCAGUCCUUUGAAUCUGGGUGAUUUUGUGAUUGCUGCAAUGAAGACAAUAGAGUGAAAGUGAUGCCGUAUGAUUUCUGAGGCUGGGUCAGAAAAGGUGACGUGGCUGGUGAGCAAUCUCUCUCAUGUAGGGCACUUACCCUUGGAACCCAGCCACCAUCCUGUGAGGAAGCCCAACCAAGCCUGUGAGGGUAGGUUACACAUGGAGAAAAACUGAGGCCUUGAGUCAACAGCCAGCAUCUCCACCACACACGAGAGUAAAUGAGACUUCAGCUGAUUCCAGCCCCCAGCUUUUGAGAGGUUCAGUCUCCUGUACGCUGUCCAAAUUCUUG
rnacentral:lncRNA from 1 species